CUCGACACAAAAAUAAGAGAGGGGACCUUCCUAGGACCCCUUUUCUUUCCCGUUUUCUUUCUCACCCCAUACUCCAAAAUCAGCCAUAAAAACCUUUUGAAAUCCAUCUUCAAAGCACCUGAAAAGGCCAACUAAACCUGACUGAAAAUCAUCCAAAAACCACCUCCUAGACCUAGUUGAAAGUGCUGCUCAAACUAACCUCAAAAACGCAAUAAAACCAGUCCCGUACCACCGAAAACUACCCCAAAUCAGUGUGAAAAUCAGCCCGAUAUCAUCGUCUAACUCAGAUAAUUUGAAUCCUUCGAGGUUGUUGAUUUCGGUUCGAGUUUCUGGGUCCCUAGCUCGAUUGAAGAUCGUUGUUUGUGGUAUUUCCUUUCCUCUGUAAUCGUUAGCAAUUUUGAGCAAUAAAGGUCCGUCUCUAUCCUGUUCACUUCAUCUGAAUGUUUGAAUUUUAACUUUACUACUUUAGAAUUUUAGAGAGUAUUUGUUAUCGGUUUGUUGUUGGAUAUUGCUUAUUCCCUGUUUUUAUUUUUAUGUGGUGAAUUAUUCUUAGUUUGAGAUUUUUGUGAUGCUAUAAUGAUUUUAUGUUUCUUUUUGUUAGCUUUAUAAUUACAAUUUAGUAGUAACAAUUUAGCUUUACAAGUUUAAUUUGCCGGGCCUUAUUAAUUUUAGUCAAUAGAUUAAUAGUUUGCCCACUCUUUCAUAAUAGAUAAUUAUCUCAUAAGUUCAAGGAUAGAGUAGUAAUUUGUAAAUAUCUUUAAAUGGGGAUAACUUCUCAAUACCUUAAAUUGCCAAAAUAUUUCUUGACUUCCAAAAUAACUCCUUCCAUAAUUCUCAUGCCCUACAAUAAUCUCGAACUUAGGGAGAAAUAAUUCAUACACGUGCUAGUUGCUUUAGGCGCGAUUAAUAAAUCGUCAUGACUAUGGGUACGGUUCCCGUGGCAUGGUCACGAUACGUAAACCCAAAUCCAAGUGCGCGUUUCACGCGACUUGAUUUCAACUUCGAAUAAUAAUAAAAAUAAACAUGUUGUAAAUUGCGGGUGCGUUUCACGUGACGCGAUUCGCAAUAUGUAUAAAAAUAAAUGAGUGCGACAUCAUGACUUGUUCAAAUAAGUUUCAUAAAUAAUUAAAAGCGAUUAAAAGUAAAAAAUGCACAAUAGGUUUUUAAGCAUGUAAUAAAUUAGAUAAUUAGGCUAAUUAUUAAUUGUUGAGCGACCGUGCUAAAAUCACGGAACUAGGGAGUACCUCACACCUUCUCCCGGGUUAACAGAAUUCCUUAUCCGGUCUUCUAUAUUCGCGGACCAAAAAUAGAGUCAAAUUUCCUCGAUUUGGGAUUUAAAAUAAAUCGGUGACUUGGGACACCAUAACUUAUUCUAAGUGGCGACUCUGAAAUUAAAUAAAUAAUAUCAUUUCGAUUAAUGUUACUCUAAUUAGAAAACCCCCUAUCCCUCGGGAAAAAGGUGGUGUGACAAGUCCUAGUCCCGUAUGUAAUAAGAUAGCGCAGUUAAAUACUACGUUAUGUGUGUUGUCUUGUCGACCUGAAAAGCUGCCCGCCUGCAAAAGCUGUAUUGUACCCGAAAGAAUCUUUAACACGUGAAGCAUAGCGCGGUUAAAUACUACGUUAUGUGUGUUGUUUUGUCGACCUGAAAAGUUGACCGCCUGCAAAAGUUGUAAUGUACCCGAAAGAAUCUUUAACAUGUGAAGCAUCGCGCGGUUAAAUACUACGUUAUGUGUAUUGCCUUGCCUAUAAAUAACUAGCGCAUUUUAGUUAUUAUCCGCGCUUAACCAAAACAAAUCGCAAAACUUUCCAUAAAAACAGGGUUUUAUUUGCAUUAACAAAUGUCUGGACGCAAUUAUGUACCAAUGUGCUAUUGUGGCAAACGUUGUAUGGUGAAGGAUUGUUGGUCCGAUGGUCAUGUUGGGUGCAAAUACUGGAUGUGUGUAAACAGGUUUGGAGGCAAUGACGGAAAUUAUUGCAAUUUUGAGGUAUGGCUUGAUGAACCCAUUAAGCAGGAAUGCUACAAACGAAUUUUGCAGUAUAUUUGGGAUAUGAACUGUGAAUACCAAUGCCGUAAGUUUGAAAUGAAACGAGAAAUUACGGCAUUGCAAGAGAAACUAAAAGAGGCGGAAGAAGAAAAAAAUAGGCUGGAAGAGAAAUUAAAGUGGUUGGGGGCAGAGAAUACUAGGCGGUAGUGACUAAACAAUGACAUGUAUGUAUUGAGUGUAGUAUUUUAUCUUUAUGCUUUCCGUG
rnacentral:lncRNA from 1 species